GAAGGCUGGAGUUCUCUCUCUUUCUCGGUCCCUCUUAUUCUUCAAGGUGAGGCCGAGAGAGCAGAGGGCUGAGUGUUUCGUUCGUGAGAGCCAGCAGUGGAGUAUGGGGACAGUCGACAUUGGAGCUUGCAUUGGUGAUGUGUAGCCGGAGGGGGUUUGAAUAUCAAAGAGGAGUAGUUGCAGCUUGGUGAUAUCAUUGUUGAGG
rnacentral:misc_RNA from 1 species